CCAAUAGCGUAUAUUAAAGUUGUUGCAGUUAAAAAGCUCGUAGUUGAAUUUCGGGAUCAAUAUAUCGGUCGUGCCAUUGGUACGUACUGGUAUCAUUGGUUUCUCCUUUCUGACGAACCAUGAUGUCAUUAAUUUGGUGUUAUGGGAAGUUAGGACUGUUACUUUGAAAAAAUUAGAGUGUUUAAAGCAGGCUUUAGCUUGAAUACAUUAGCAUGGAAUAAUGAAAUAGGACGUUCGAACCUAUUUUGUUGGUUUCUAGGAUCAACGUAAUGAUUAAUAGGGAUAGUUGGGGGCAUUAGUAUUCAAUUGUCAGAGGUGAAAUUCUUGGAUUUAUUGAAGACUAACUACUGCGAAAGCAUUUGCCAAGGAUGUUUUCAUUAAUCAAGAACGAAAGUUAGGGGAUCGAAGACGAUCAGAUACCGUCGUAGUCUUAACCAUAAACUAUGCCGACUGGCGAUCCGCUGUCGUUACUUGAAUGACUCAGCGGGCAGCCCCCG
rnacentral:misc_RNA from 1 species